UAUACACAAUACCCUGAUCUCUUGGUCAAGUAAAUAACAAUGACCUUAGAUAAGCUCCGCCCAGAUCCAGUGAUCGGCGAAGAAACCAUACAGUAUAUUUUUUUUGUCUUUAUAGAUAACAUCAGGAAGGCUAGAACAACAGCGAUACCAGUACUAAACGGAAUAUCACACAAAGCCUACAAGGAUUACCCAAGGUUGAUGCCAUGGACAGUUAGCUAAUACAGUCUACUCCGGAUAUAAUGAACUUCAGGGGACUGACCUGAAUUUUUCAUUAUAUCCAAAGUUCAAUAUAACCAAUGCUGAACUACACAAAUAUUGCUACUGGGGGAUUUAUUUCAACUUCAAUAUAACAGAUAGUUCAAUAUAACCGACUUCAAUAUAAGUGGAGUGGGCUGUAGUUGGCAUCAAGCUGAGGGAUGCAAAAGAGGAGAUUUCGGAGAUACUCAAACAGUUUUGUACCACAUCAAAGUUUUACAUUGAAGGGAAGAUCUUUUUACCAAUUUUGGCAAAGAGGAUGACCACUUAUAUGUUGUUCAACAGGUACAUAGAUAUCGCUAUACACGAAGGAGAAGUGUCAGGUGUUUCAGGAUGAGUUCAACAUACAAAUGUUUGAACACAAAUUAUCGGAGAGGCGAAAGAGAUGAAAGGAGAACUGGCAGUCAUAUGGUUGGAUCUAGAUAAUGCUUAUGGUUCUAAACCUCAUACCACAGCGAUGUCAUGUACCAGGUUAAGAUCGAAAAGCUUCUAAGAAAUACUUCGACGGACUGUUGGUGAGAUUCCAUGCUCAGGACUUCACAACAUCAUGUGGAACAUCAGAAGGGUGGGAUCGUCACAGGCUGUGCAGUUUCAGUAGUCUUGUUUUCGGUGACCAUGAAGAUAUUGGUGACGUCGGUGGAUAAGAUGAGUAGAGGUCCGUGGAUGAGGGUAGGCUUGAGACAACCCAUGUUAGAGCAGUGGCAGACGACACGACAGUCGGUAUCAAUACCAUUAAAGAAGCAAGAUGGACAUUGGAGGAUAUUGAGAACAUCAUCAAAUGGAAUCGUAUGAAGAUUAAGUCAACAAAGUCUAGGAAUCUACAUCGUCAUAAUGGCCGACUUCCUUUUAAAACGUGAAUGAAAAUAUAAAUACCAGCAACAUUUGUCUAUUCAUUUCAAACAUUCCCUAGCUGAGUGGCUCAGUAGGUUAGCACGUCGAUAUCGUCGCAAACCACGUUUCUGAGUCCAAACACGCUCCCUCAAAUGGGGAUGUGAUGAUGGGGAGAAUCGACGAGAGGCAUCCGUGGGUAGCUGAUGAUGACACGUCGACUGCUGAACUGUAGAUCGCGGGUUCGAGUCCUGCAGGAGCUUUAAAAAAUCAGAUUGCUACCAAUUUCGGGAGAUCAAAUAUUGCGCCGUGGAAGUCAUCAUUUGAACGGAAAAUUUAGCAAUGGGUUUAUUUUAUGGAAUGUACAUACUCAGACGCUACAUCCAUUUGGUAACCACAGUGAGAGGGAUGAGUCAUGCUGUCAUCAUAUGAGGAACCAUACCAGGAAGUGCAGAUUUCUUCCCCAUGGCCACAUAGAAGUUGACUGUUAAAACUGGUUUCUGGAUAAUAACUCGAGUACUUUGUAUUCUAUUCAAACCAUUUGGACAUAUGGAUACUACAAAGAAGGGAAGUUGCCUAUCAAUUUGAGGGUCAGAAGGUCAAAGAUCAAGGUCACAAUGCAUGGAAAUUAGAAAAUGCUGAUAGGGGACAUAUGUUUUACACAUUCUUUAGUUAUAACUGAAUUAGUAUUGUAUAUAUGCAUAGAUUAUUUAUGUUUUCUGACUAUACUUACUUACUUAUCCUCUUCGUGCCUAUCAGCACAUAAGGCCUCAACCAGCUGACGCCACAACUGCCUGUCUUUUGCUUUCUUUUCUAUCCCCCCCCCCCCCCCCAGGUCUUCCCUAUAUCUUUCAUCUCCUGUUCUACCAUCCUUCGCCAUGUCUCUUUUGGGCGUCCUCUUUUUCCCUUUCCAUCAGGUGUCCAUCUCGGAGCAAUCAUAGUGAUAUCUUCUCCUCCUUUUCGUAGAAUAUGCCCAAUCCAACGCCACCUUCUUCUUUUAAUCUCCAUCUUCAUGCAGCACUGUUUGGUCUUAAGAUAUAGAUCUUUAUUCGAUAUUUUUUGGGGCCAGUAGAUUUUACAGAUUUUUCGGAGGCAGGUGUUAUGGAAUGAGGAGAGUUUUUUCAUGUCAGUUUGUAUUAUUCUCCAGCAUUCAGACCCAUAGAGUAACACAGAUUUCACGUUACUGUUGUAUAUUUUCAGUUUGGUGUUCAUACUGAUCGACCCACUUCUCCAUAUGGAUUGCAGUUGGCAAAAUGCGUUUUCUGACUAUAUAAUGAAAUACAUACAUGUAUAUAGAAUUUGUAAAUAUGAAUUGAAGAAUACACAUUUUAUAACAAGUCAUAUAUUGUUAUUGUUUAGAAUAUAUGCCAAUGUAAGUAGGGGGUGGGGACAGAAAAUGGUUCAAAUCUUUGUUCCAAAGUACACUACCCCACACAUUUUUUUUUAAAAUUUAACUUAAGCAAAAAUAUGAUUAAAAUCUACGUUAGUAAUUUCAGAAAAAGUUUGAUACAGAUAUUUUCCUUAGGUUGAAUUAUUUGAUGAAAUAGGUCUUCAAAUUUGUGUGAUAUUUUAUCCAAUUAUGUUAAUUAAUCUUUGAUUUUUUGUAAAAUUGGUGAUAUAUUUUAUGUAAAAGUUAUUGUAAUAAUCAAUGAUGCUUAAUUUUCAUAAAAUAAAGAAAUUCAAGAU